GGGCGACUUCUUUGUGCGUUCAGAAGAGUUUCCACAGACUGAAAGUUUCCAAAGUUCCCAACUGGAGCAGUUUAUCUUGCAGAGAGAUCAUCGACUUCCUGCAGCACAAUUUGGCGCCGCUCCUGAUGGAGAAGCUGGGGAAGCUCGGUGGGGUUGAGGAGGAGGAGGAGGAGGAGGCGCAGGAGGCGGACAGCUACCUGCUGAAUGACAUCAUCAGCUGUGAGGAAGGCGAGGAUGACGACUUUGUGGAGUUGGACAACAGUCGGCUGACCUCCGGCCAAUCAGGACACAGAUAACAGCAGGCCUCCUGCACUGUGAUUGGCUGUUAGAGUCGAUGAACUGAACAAACUGAAAACGUUUUCCUCCGUUUAUUUUAAAGGGUCCUGAUGAUAUUUUGUGUCUUAUUUUUUAAUGAAGUUGUUUUUGUGCCGUU